GUUAUAGUAGCGACGUGACGUGUUGCGCGCGGAGCUAGCGAGGGCGCGCGAGCCGCAUCCUGAAGGGCCGCCAGCUUGACGAAGUACUCUAAAAGAACGUAACAAUGUCUGAUGAAGAAUUACGUCACACGAUUGCCAACAAUGGCAUAGGUCCAGAAGUAUCAGACCUUUUAUAAUACAUUUUAUAUCAGCAUAUAGACUAAAUCUGCAAUAUUUUUAUUUAAUAGCUUAAUAUUACGCAAACAAAGCUCUAUGUUCCGAAAUAGGUGCAGUAACAAUGAAUCAAGCAAAUUUAAGAGACAAAUUAAAGAUGAUUUAUAGAAAUGAAGCUUUUUUGGAAAAAUUGGUUACACUAU